UUUCAAGUUUGUGUUGUUAUUCUCUUUGACAUUUGUUUUAGAAAUCUGUAUUAAUAACCUCUUAGUGUGGAAAUCCCUCUAGCGGGAUCAAAUUCGACAACAUCCGGAGAAAUCGGAGCGCGCCAAAUUUGAAAUACAAAAUCGUAAUAUUAAACAUUCAUGAAAAUACAAGUGUCCUACAUCAUUUAAAAGCUUAAUUUCUUGUUAAUCCAGCCGCUUUGUCAGAUUUCAAAAAGGCUUUACGGUGAAAGCAUAUCAUGCAAUUAUCUGAGGACAGCACCCCGUAUACAAAAGCAUUAAACAUUUUCCAAACAAGCAGAGGCGUCACGAAAGUCAGAAAUAGCGAUAAAAUCAAUCACUUACCUUUGAAGAUCUUCCUCUGUUUGCAAUCCCAAGGGUCCCAGCUACAAAACAAAUGGUCCUUUUGUUCAAUAAAGUUCUUCUUUAUAUCCCAAAAAAGUCAGUUUAGUUGGCGCGCUUGAUUCAGUAAUCCACCGGUUUUCCUCGUUCAAAAUGCAUUCAAAUGAAUCUCAAAAGUUACCUAUAAACUUUUGUCAAACAACAUUUCUAAUCAAUCCUCAGGUACCCUGAUAUGUAAGUAAACAAUAACAUUUAAGAUGGAGAAUAGUAUGUUAAUUUACCGGAGAUAAAUAACGAAGUGUGCGCUCUCAUCCACGCGCGCCACAAUACUACAGCCAAAAUGGGAGCCACCAAGAAAAACUACGAAUUCUAGCUCACUUUCUAAAGACUAUUGACAUCUAGUGGAAGCCCUAGGAACUGCAAUCUGGGAGGUAUUCCUUUGAUUUUCCCAUAAGGAUUUGGAUGGGCAGACACCUAAAAAAAAAAAACCUUCUCCUCAGGUUUUCGCCUGCCAUAUCAGUUCUGAUAUACUCACAGACAUUAUUUUAACAGUUUUAGAAACUUCUAUCUAUCCUAUACUACCAAUUAUAUGCAUAUCCUAGCUUCUGGGCCUGAGUAACAGGCAGUUUACUUUGGGCACGUCAGUCAUCUGAAAUACCGAAUACUGCCACCGGCCCUCAAGAAGUGAAGAAUCAGGUCGUAGUAAUAAUUUGUCAUACACCAAAUAAUUUGUCUGGAUUUCCUGAAUCAGAAAUAACCUAAACUAAACUGUUGUUCUGGUCUAUACUCUCUCGAGGUUAUGGCGAAGGUGACCACAGAUGGUGUCUAGAUGCAUGGAAGGGAUAAUUUGACCAAGAACAGUGUGAACCUCAACACCCUCCCCCCUAACCGGCUGAAGCAAUGGCAAACAUGGAUUUCAGUGUGGUCCUUCUCCACUUCUACUGAGUGCGACAUGGGUCCACGUGGAGUGAGAAUGGAGAGAGAUCCCAUCCAAACUUGCUGGUAUACUGGUAGGAAAAUGGACAAGACAUAAUGGACUGUAAAGGACAGUGGCGGAUCAUGUGAGAGACAUUAUCAAGGGCCAUCCACUUUGAACAUGUGCUAUUGGGAGGACGAACUGAAACACUAUCUGAAGAAGAACAUGAAGAAACAGCAGAAGGAUGAGUUCUGGGAGGGACGGGGGUGGUCAACCGUGCCCAAAGUUGAUUUAGACUUAUCCAAAAUUGUUUAUUUGGGAUAUCGGGUUGAUUGUAGAGGUCGGCACACUGUGAAAUGUAUAGUAAUUUAGACUAAGAAUGCAUUGAGAUACAGAUCUGUCAUUACUACAAGUGAUAAGAAUAGUUAAUGCUAGAAAUAUAAGAUGAAUAUACUGUGUAUCAAUGUAAAUGUACAUUCUGCCAGUAUAUGUGUGUGCUAAGUUGAGGGUCUUAAAUUAAAGUGAUAGAACCAACGUGAAGGCUUCUAGAGACAGAGCUAUGCCCCUAAAAUGUGAGGAGAUACACUAGAUUGUAGCUUGGGCUAACCUUGCCCCAAUCUCAUUAUUAUCAAGGUUGGUGUGAAACUAUUAUAACAUGUGUUCUUUCUCUUCCCUGUGAAAGUCAACAUGCAUGUGCCCUAGACCGGGAGAUCUUUAGAGACGUAGAGAAAAUUGGAAAUGCUAAAAGAAUUGCAUAAAUUGGCUCUGCAAAACAGAGAGAUUCUUGACUACCUUUUGGUAAGUCAAGGAGGCACUUGUGCAAUCAUUGGCGAUGAAUGUAGUACUUUUGUCCCAGAUCACUCUUUUAAUGUGACUGAUCUUGCUGAAUACAUUGCCACUGUUGCUAAGAAUAAUCCCCCAAAAACCAGAUUGGACGCUUGCAACUUGGUUGGAAUCCCUGUUUUGAAGUUGGGGAUCCCAAAUUGCCCAAUGGGCUGCAGCGUGUGUUUUUUGUUUAGUUUGCUUAAUUGUGUUAUUAACAUGCUGUAAGGCGAUCUGUGCCUCUGCGGCUGGUAAGAUUUCAGCAGCUAUCAUGCUUUCUGCUCCUCCAGAGGAUGGUGAAACUUAUGAGUUGCCAACUCUGGAUGAGUUCCCAUUUCCCCCUAAGCUGUUUUCGUUUCAUAAAUUGAGGGUAAGGUCAUCUAAACCCUUAAUCUGUUUCCAUUAUAUGGAACACUGAGCUGAUGAGACAGCACUAACCUUUUGAAGGUAUUUGCAGAUUUGUUAAACAACAGGGUUUUAUAUUUUGACUAAGUUGCUGUCCCAGGGACAGUUAGUGAAAAACAUAGGUCAAUCCAACCCGAUUAUGGUAAGAGAUGUGGGAAGAAAUGGUUAACGUUGAGAGAUGUAUUCACCUCUGAAUUUACAGAUACUCACUCCUGUUGAUUAUAACCUUUUGAUUGUAGAUUUUAGCUUUAUUAUGAUUCAUUAUAAUGAUGUAGUUAAUAACCUUUAUUAUGAUUUAUUCUAAUGAUGUAAUUUGAUAGAACCUGAUAGACGCUCAAAUCUAAUGCUUACUUUAAAAUAUAAUUAUUAUUAUCAUACAAGUGAUAAAAGGAUUGAAUGUAAAGGACAUUUUACUUUGUGCAUCUUGUCUUUGGUGACAUAAACAAAGAAAUAAACAAUCCUUGGUUCCUGCCUGUGCCUGGUAAGGAUAUGGGGGGGCGUUAUGACCUCCUCCUUUAGACUAGUUGACCGAACUCCCAUAAUGUCACACUGCUAUCAUUGAUUCGGGAGACAGACGCAGGAAUGCGUAAUAGUUUUUUUUAUUGCACCCAAAUUACGGCAUGCCAUGUAAAGGCACGGGGACGA
rnacentral:lncRNA from 1 species